CAGAAUGAAAAAAGAGAGUUCAUGAAGCAUCAAAAAUCGAAUGAUACAGAGGAGUGAGAAAAACAAAUCACGCUUGGUAUCGUUUUGUCUUAUCCAUUCUUUUCCUGAUUCUCAAUUCUUCUCUUUUCAUUCUCU
rnacentral:ribozyme from 1 species